rnacentral:lncRNA from 1 species
CGCGUCCUCGUCUUUCCCCUCCCAUCUCCUCAGAUCGGUGGACGUGCUCGCCUCCACUCGGGGCCAGGUCUAUGUCCCGGUUUCCCGCAGUCGCGGGCAGGGCGCCAAGGCGGCAGGAGGAGGGUGAGCGGUCAAGAGACCUCCAGGAAGAGCGGCUCUCGGCUGUUUGCAUCGCCGAUAGAGGUGCGGUCCGCGGGACGCCUGCCUUUGGGUACAGUAUGAAGGGAGCCAGUUUCCAGGAGCCAGUUUCCAUGGUUACCCACCACUUGGCCUUCUGGGAUAUCAGUCGCUCUGAACAGGGACCUAACUUGAACCAUGAAUCAGAAGCAAACACAGGUG